CUCACUAAACUUCUGAAAGGCAGGAGUCUGAAAUGGCAUUGGCUAGAGAAACUGGGAUUGAGUGAAAAGAUAGCAGUCAAUGAUUCCCCUGACCCAGGAAUUCCACCUCUUUACUUUGGAUAAGUUAGACUUAUAAGGUACAAAAGAAAACAACUUUAUUUUUUAUUCCUGUCCCUUCAAGCCUUCUGUGAAAGUGAUUCUCAAUGUGUGGUCCCUGGGCCAGCAGCAUCAACAUCACCUGGAACUUGUGAGAAAUGAAGAUUCACAGGCCCUUCUCUAUACCUACUGAAUCAGACACUGGGUGUAGCGGGGAACACCACAAUCUGUCUUUAAGAAAUCCUCAAGUAGAACUCCGGUUUCCUGAGUGCAUUCACAUGUGUGGUGUGGUUCAGCCUCCCAACAACCAGAUAGAUGAGCCAGGAAUGUUGCCUUCUUUUAUCGAUGAAAAUGCCCAGACUCUGAGGAAGGAAGUCCGCAGAGCACACAUGUGGUUCCUCCCACAACACAUGGGAAUUACGAAAGCUACGAUUCAAGAUGCGAUUUGGGUGGGGACACAGCCAAACCAUAACACAUAA
rnacentral:lncRNA from 13 species